GACGUAGGGUGCGAGCGUUGUCCGGAUUUAUUGGGCGUAAAGAGCUCGUAGGCGGUUUGUCGCGUCUGCUGUGAAAACCCGAGGCUCAACCUCGGGCCUGCAGUGGGUACGGGCAGACUAGAGUGCGGUAGGGGAGAUUGGAAUUCCUGGUGUAGCGGUGGAAUGCGCAGAUAUCAGGAGGAACACCGAUGGCGAAGGCAGAUCUCUGGGCCGUAACUGACGCUGAGGAGCGAAAGCAUGGGGAGCGAACAGG
rnacentral:rRNA from 1 species